AAUACCAAAGUGUUGUGUUCUACGACGAUUGUCAAAAGAUGCAAUAGGCAGCCUUCCUUCCACGCGCAAAAGUGAUUUGUUCGUUUGGUCGGAUGAGCAGCGCUCGCGAUACAAUCAGCAGACUGUUUUAGGGGCUGAAGCAUUUCACGUGGCAUCAAAUAAUCCUGAAGUGUAUAAAAAGCUUAGAGAAUAUCUGCAGGGCAUCAUAUCAAAGAAGCAAAUGUCUCACAUUGAAGUCCCCAACAGUCGCAACUCUGUGGAUCAAGCUAGUCAGAACUGUGAAAGAGCUUCAACCAUGGUUCGUGAUCCAAUUCGGAUCGCCACCAAAGGUGCACCCAAGCAAAAGGCCACAAAUCAACAUAGUAAGAACAGCAAUGGCGAAUCUAGUAAAAGAUUGAACGGAUUCGACGAGAAAGAAAAAACACAACAAAAACGGUGUAGUUUAUGCCAACAAACAGGCCAUAAUAUGCGCACAUGCGAGCAAAAUCCUAAGUUUCAUCCACCUCCGAAUUGAAUUGGUGCAAGGCUGGAUGGUAUUAUUGAAAGUUGUGGGACAAUUGAGUGGAAUGGUGGCGGCCUCCACUUAGUUGCAAUUUCUGUGUUGCCAAGUAGUUUGUAGUGGAGAAUUAUCAUCUUCUGUAUUGCUUAAUUGAAGGAAAACUAAUGUUAUGCUUUCUACCGA